GGAGUGGGCAGUGAUUGUACACCGUGGUGUGCAGUAGCUGUUUUUCCUCCACAACUCUCUUCACUUUGUCAUGACAUCACCACCUGCCAUCCCGGGCAAAAGGACACAGGAAAUCUCAUCAUCUGAGAAUAAAUCACCAGCAUUCUUUUAGACAAACGGGAAGUUCAGCUGGUUCAGAGUGGGCUCUUGGAAGCCUCCUACCUCACUGACUGAGACCCCGUAUGGACGUGUACACCAACUCCUUAACACAGGGAAUCAGAUCUACACCUCGGUGGUGUCUAGUCAGUUAUCCCACAGAGUGUUUGAUGGUUGUUUUUAGUCAAAUAACAAUCACUAAAUAAUUAGAGAGUUUUUCCAUACCACUGUCACCAGUGUGCUUGCUCAUGGUGUUGUAAAGUCUAGACGUUACUCAUUCACAGCACUGUGAGGUAACUUUAUACCAAAAUUUGUUUCAAUGGUAAUAAAUCCAUCCAGCAUGU